rnacentral:lncRNA from 1 species
ACAGCCAGCUGGUAGCCUUUGCCUGUGUAUGUGAAAAGUACCGUUGUGAAAUUUUAUGUUUUUAAAAAUUAUAAAAGGUGUCAAAUUGAUUUAAAUAGUGUAAUUUUUGUGAACUGUUUAUUGUUAAAAGUGAAAGAUACACAAAACUGCAGAGAUUUAUUAAAGCGCCCUAAAAUUUGCACAUUAUCAUCAUGGAGAAUAUGGAGCUCUCGUUUACUUUUAACGAGUUCAAUUAUGACCGUGAAUUCACUGCCGAUAACUAUGAAUUUGAAUGUUUAUGGGACGAGUAUGCCGAAGAGAUGCAGCGUGUUGAUGAAUUCGCAGACUUAGAGCAAAAAUUUGUCAAACAGUUGACAAUAGCGGACACCGCCUAAAGGAUAAUGUUUUAUGGGCCCAUAUUACUCAUUUUAAGGAUAACAUUAACUGUAUUUUAAGGAAUACAUUAACAGCAUGUUUUGCAGAGCAAAGCAAGUGCUUACAUUAAUAAAUAACAAAAAUGUGCUUACCCUCUGAUCUAAAGCACUGCAAUUCACUUCGAUUUUCGUAUCGAUCCUAUCGAUAAACAUGGCUUCAAUUUAUUAUAUAUUUCUUCAAAAAAUCUUAUUGGUUUUACCUUUGGAUACCAAAUGCAUCCAUGUUCGCAUAAAUGUUUUGUAGCUUUUUUCCCAACUUAAAAUGUAAAUAUGUCGGUAUAUGUGUAUUGACUCUACAAAUUGCAGUCGGGACAUUUUAAUUAUUUUAUGCACGUCCUUGUAAAAAAAAUAUUAGUGAAAACCCGUACUUACAUAUAUGUUUUAACGUUUAAUUAAUUUUAAAACAAAUAUUUUACAUUUUCGUUUGGUGUAAUACACAACUGUUUUUAUAUUCUUUAAAGUUUUAUUUAAUACUUUAAACCUUAUCAUAUGUACAUUACACUAACAAUUAUUUUAUAGAACAACUUCACGUGCACAGCAAGUUCGUCUUAUACUGUAUAUGAUAACAUUUUAAAAAUAAUUUAUAAAUGACAUGUCUACAAAUGGCACCAUUAUACAUAUGUAUAUCUUUUCUGUAAGAUUUUCGUAGAUAUAGAACAUAGAUGUCUACAUCUAAACGAACAUUAUGCAUAUAUUUACCUCCCUUAUAUUAUAUUUGAGUUACUAAUUAAUUUUUAAAAUCGUAAUUAAUUCUUGGUACUAUUUUCUAUCUAGAAGAGAAGUGUUUGGGGGAAAUAUUGUAUUGCGUGUGAAGAGAAUCGUUGAAAAUGUCUCUUAUGAAAAUUGAGCUUUCGAUUAAAAGUACUAUCAAUAAUAUAAAUCUUAAAAAGUUUAAUUUAUAGCCAAAAAUUAGAAAGUUCUAUUUAAAAAAAAAGAUAUUUUGUAUCGUUUUUUCUAAAUGGUCUUAUAAAUGGGAUAAUUGUUCGAAGAAUACACUGUAUUAACUCAAUGCAUCGCCGCUGUUAUUAAAUAGAUACUAAACACUAGGCGAAAUUAUUCGGUUUCUUAACCUCAAAAUAAAAUCCGUUGAUAUCAAAAACUUA